UUGACCACCGUCCGGGCGCCUAGGCGACGCCUAGGCGACGCCUUAAGAACAGAGGUCUUACAUAUUAUCCCGUUUGUACUCCUUUGUGCAGGCUUUUUUAGCAGCCAUAGUCCACUUAACCAAUAUGAAACGGUUCCUUUCAAAAAUGGGAUUGGCUUGCCAUAUUGCGGAAAUUCAUAGCCAGGUUCUGCUCCUUGUCCAUAUCAAAGGUGGAGUUGAUGCAGCUGCAGCUCUUUCUUUUCUUGUACUGGUCUGAGCUCAAGGGUAAGGUUACUACUGGCCUGGCGUUGGUUCUGAGCCCAUAUGGUGGCACCCCGGUCGCCUCUGAUAUCUUUCGAGAAGGCCUGAUCCCUGAAAAGGAUACAAGGAGGAUCAUGGAGCUCAUGACGAACAAUUGCAGGGUGACAUCAGGGCCUUGGAGCACGCCUCACACAUGUUAAGACAAAGGACUGCAUCACCAAGCACAAACUUCCCGUCGGUGAGCUCUUCAAAGGACUUCAUCGAUGUGUCGGCAGCCAUGGUGGUCAUGGGCUUACGGCCCUCCACCUGCGGCUGCACUAUGGGGAGAGGAGCACCGGGCUGGUGACGAGGCGUGAUGCCGAGGUGCCUGGGUUGGUGGUGGUGAGGCCCGAGAGAAGGCUGGACCACGCGUGGAUGGUUUACCCCACGCUUAAGAUGUGUAGCGAUGAGGCCGAUGCAAGCGAGAUGUGUGCGAGGCUCUGCUGGCCUUGCUCGUUGAGAUCGACAGGAAGAAAUUUGGCUGGCCGUCUGGUCAUGUUGGAGUCCUCGAUGGUUUUGGUUAUAGAUGCAAAUGUGUCGAACCAGAUAGCACAUGCUACAAAUGAUCGAUUUGUUUCCUUUGUUCAAAGCAAAUAUACUGUGGCAAUAUGCUACUUGGCUAUGUAAUGUUCUUCACAUUUUAACUUAGUUCUAUUUG